GCGCUCCAACAGGUCCAUGUAUCUCCUGUACUGAGGACUCUACAUCUGGACACAGUACUCCAGAUGUAUAAGCAAAGCACAUUGUUGUUUGUUCGUGGAUUAAACAAUUCAGCAUUUUGGACCUAAUCUGGAAUGACGUUGCUGCUUUAGGUGGUGUUUUGAUGCUCGGAAGACCACGGGCUACUCAUUGUCUGCAUGCAUCACAGAGAUGGGAGAACUGGAGGAACAGAGAUGUGAAGCUGUCUGCUCAGAGCUGUAGAGGAGGCCAGUGACAAAUCCAGGAAUCCAAGCCAAGGCUCCUAAGUUGCAUUCUAAUUCUCUAAUCAGCACAGAAAUUUGCCUUCUGGCAUUGCGAUGAGCAGGUGUCAUUCUGGAAAAAGGAAAAUACUGUGAAUCCCAGAACUGGAGAAUUUGGCUGUGACAGAUGAAAAAAAAAAGAAAAAGAAAAAGUUUGCUUUAAAAUACAGCUUUUGAAGAAUACGCUACUCCAAAUAAAAACCAAGACGAAGUUGGCUGGUCUGCAAUGAAGCAGACUGUCAGAAUAUUUUCUCAGAAUCUUUGCACUUUGUGUAACAUAUUGCCAUUUAACGAACAGAGGGCAGAGGAUAGCUGAAGCAAACCAAUGCCUGGUUAACGCUGUCUCCUGCCCUUUGCAGUUGUGUGUGUCACCUUCACCACUGUGAACUCUCCUCCCAUGAUGGCUGUCAAAUAGUGAUAAUCAUCAGUUUUUACGACGGGCUUUGGGCUUUACUUCCCCCAAAGGGCAUACACAGUUAAGGUGAUGAAUGCAAAUCUCAUUUAUUUUGUUACAAGCUUGAAGUAAACUCAUUGAAGCAACUGAAAUCAGCAGAAUUGCUUCAGAUUGAGUCUGAAGUAAAGAUCAGUAGAGUUUCACUUUCUACUUUAUAAAUAAAACUUGGGAGAAUCACGCAAUCAUUUUAAUGUCUAUUUUAACAGUUAUGUCACCCCUUAAGUGUUCACCUGGCUAUUAGAUGCAGAUUCCUUUAACAUAAAAGAGCAUAAUUUUGAUUUCUGAUAACCACACUGAGAAAGCUGUGCCAGAAUUACGAAGAAUCAAGACACCACUGGCUUAUUGCUCGAGGACUCCAGGUCUGCUGAGUCUGGUCUUCUGGCUGUUAAAACCAAACUUGCUGUAAAAUCCAUGCAGGAGUUGUACUGCCCACCUUGUAUUCCACUGGAGGUUUGUUCCAACCCAUUACAGUUCUGAUGAUUAUAGUGCUCUGUCUUUCAGACUAAAUUUCAUAGAAUCACAGAACGGCUUGGGUUGGAAGGGACCUUAAAGCUCACUCAGUUCCAACCGCCUGCCAUGGGCAGCUCAGGCUGCCCAGGGCCCCAUCCAACCUGGCCUUGAGUGCCUCCAGGGAUGGGGCACCCACAGCUUCUCUGGGCAGCUGUGCCAGGGCCUCACCACCCUCAUAGUGUAGAAUUUCUUCCCAGUGUCUAAUCUAAAUCUCCCUUCUUUUACUUCAAAGGCAUUAUCCAUUGUCCUAUCACUACGCUCUCCAAUAAAGAGUCCUUCCCUCCCCAGCUUUCCUGAAGGCUCCCUUUAGGAACUGGAAGGAAUUUAUCCAGGGGAAAGAUGAGAACAAUCUCCAAGAUAACGCAUACAGGCUCUGGCUGAGAAAAUGGGGCUUCCCAACAAGAACACAGUGCUCUGAGGUUCAACAGUGUUGGGAGCCUGGCAAAAAUAAGCAUAAUUCCUCAGUUCAGGGCAUGAUGGAGCAAACUAAUUUCGAUGAAGAAAGCGAUAACUUCAGGAUGAACCCCCAGGCACAGCAGCAGUGGUUGUGUGAGAGGAGAAACAAACCCUCCCCUGACGUCACUCGUGCCAGCAGUCUGAGCAGGAGGAAGGUGCAGGAACGCUCCUACAGAGAACUGGGACUGGUUUGUCUCUUUAGAAGGGAGCAAUGGUAUUUUGAACAUUUUUACCACAUCCCAGAGCGCGCGACGGCAUUUUAUGGACUGGGAAUUAUAGAAAUGAAAGACUGUGAGAUGGGAAAGAAUUGCAGGAAGCCACAGAGAGCUGCAACCUAAGCAUCCUGAAAUCUGUGACCAAGCCCCAAGGAUAUCUCUUGUUAUUGCAGCCACCUCCAAUGACUGCUGUUUUUUAUAUGAUUUACCAGCCCCAGUGAGCUCCCCAAGACUGAAUGGGGACAGAUGGGCCUCAAGUUGUGCCAGGGGAGAUUUAAGUUAGAUAUCAGGGAAAACUUCUUUACAGAAAGGGUUGUUAAGCACUGGAAUGGACUCCCCAGGGAGGUGGUUGAGUCACCAUCCCUGGAUGUGUUUAAAAACCAUUUGGAUGUGGUGCUCAGGGACGUGAUGUAGCGGAGUGUUGUUAGUUAGGGUAGUGUGGUUAGGUCAUGGUUGGACUCGAUGAUCUUUAAGGUCUUUUCCAACCUGAGCAAUUCUAUGCUUCUAUGAUUCAGUGAUUUUAGUCCAGAGGAAGAUUCCCAACUGGUUCUGGGUGGUGAACUUUUUGGCUUGUGAAAUGAGUUACAGAAUUCCUAUUUAAAAAACAAAGAAGAUGGUGUAAAUUUGCACCUGGGAGGCAGCGCGUGCUUUGAAAAAGGCAAUUCAAAAAAUAAUGCGCUGGUAUGGAAACUCUGUGAUCUGCAAUUUAAGGCUUUACAGGUAGCAAAUCUUUAUGCUGAGACACGAAACAUGCAUUUAAAAUAAUGACUGUAAGCACAGACCAAUGCAACCAUUAUCUAGCUCAUAUGUGUAAAUACUGAAGAAAUGUAAAAAUUUACCCUCCUCCCCCCAAAUUUUUAAGACCUUAAUUGGUCCUUUUGGGGUUUUUUGGUUUUUUUUGAUACUUUCAAGUCAUGCUACAUUUUGCUGAAGAACAGUUUAGUUUCCCUGUUGUCUGAAUAAGAGUCCCCGGGUCCUGGUCCCGAAUGGUAGUAUUUGCACUGUGCUGGCAGCUGUGUGCCUGUGGUCACCCCAUAGCAAUAUUUAUGGGGAACGUAUACAGUGGCAGUGCCUCUUUCAGAGAACACCAGGAGGAAAAUAGCAUGUGGCCAACCCACACGUAAUUUGUUCUCCUUAGCGGAGGUCUCACAUAGGCAGUACUUAAAUGGCACUUUUUGUUUCUGGGUAAGAUGAAGGUAACUGAUAGAAACCAUUCAAGAGCCUCUCUGGCUGUUGCUUAUGUUCCCUGCAAAGGGCUGAAGGGAACAGCUCUUUGGAGACGUGGCUUUACACUGAACAUACGCUGGGCUGUGUCAUUAUUAAUUCUGCAAAUGUGUUUACAAUGGUUAGGUAAAAUAUUUAGUUACUAUUUAAAUAUUUUGAUGUAUUAUAGCUCAUACCCGAAUUUUAGAUGUCUACUGCACUUAACAUUUCCAAUUUAAAUAACCGGUUUCAUUAAGGUUUUUAGUGAUACAAAUUAAUAACAAAAGGCAGUUAAUGCAGAGUACGGUUAUGAGACCAAAAUACAUGUGGUUUAAAUUUAAAGAAUUAAAUGUUAGCAUUUCCCUAUAGGGAAAGGUUAUUUGGGCAGUGGUGUACUGACAUUAUCACCACCCACGGAGAAGGGGACCUGUUGAUCCUAUUGGUUAAGUACAAAUUCAGAAACGGAAGAAAUGUUGGUCUAGAGGGUUUGCUUGGUGUGAGUGAAUCACACAGGAAAAAUGCUGAUACCUAGAGUAGCUCAGUGACCUUCUUUGAUGGUUAAGAAGAGAAACAAGCACACAAGGUUUCUGUCAAAGUCAGAAGGUUUAGGUUGCUUGCUGGGUAAAAUCGGCCCAGGUUAUUAAUAUAGUGGAAAGUUAAAUGAUGAGCAUGGAAGUAUGAUAAUAAGCGCUGUUGUAAGUGAGACAGAAAUGAUUUUCUGUGGCCAGUGAGAACGAUAAUCCAAAGUGUUAACCAUUGGGCUCGAGGGCUGCUAAGAAAAUAAAUGUGCAAAGUGGAUAAAAUAAAGGCUGAAAGUAUGUUUAAGUAGGUGUUUCUUCAAAGCUUUCUUCAGGAGGGUGUUUCUGGACACUCUGCCCUACUGCUUUUGGCAAGACAUGUCUGUUAUAAUAAAGGUAAGCAUGCGGCUUUCGUUCUAGCAGAAAAUAGUGCUAACUGUAGCUCGGAAUUUAUGUGCUUUUGUAAUAAUUUUCAUGGACUUAGCUAGAAACAAAUCUGUUGAAGGUAACAAUUACUAACUUGGCGCUAUUUGGCGUUAGUUAAAUCUGACAACGUUGGGAUGGCUUCACCUAUUAUUCCUGGAAGAAACUGCGAAAUCGGGUGGUUUUAGGGAGUUUUGUGCGGAUGUGGGACCGCACAGGGAAGGCAGCUCUCAGCAUCAGUGCGUGUAAGUAAAGCUUGGCUCUGACCCUCAGGCUGACAGCUUGGAAAUGGACUGGGCUGAAACGCAGGCUCCGGCGCUCUGCACUUUGGCUCUUGAUAAUUUCUGUGUGAGACCUAAUUUCAAUCUGAAAAGUCAGAAUACAGUGGUUUGCAAUCAGUUUUGCUUUGUUUGAACCUAAAACUCAAAGCAAAACUCUUGGUGUAUAGAACUGUACAAAGCAAAACGUAAGAAAGUGAACCCAAGAGCUCUACAGGCUGAACAAGCUAGUUUCACUUAGCUCUCAAAAUAAUCCCCAUUUUGCAAGUUCACUUUUCAAUUGCACAUGUGGUAGAUGUCAAAAUUGAGCUGGUUUCACUAUGGGUAGUGCAGCUCCAAAGCAUCACACCGUCAGCAAGGUCUCAGCACUUGCUCUCAGUCUCAACUGGUACUUUGGACAUGUCAAGAGAUGAAAGUUUAUCUGUUUCAGCCUGUUCACGUUUGACUUUUGUUCAUCUCUAAGACAAUGAUCUGAAUGUUUCCAGAUCCAGCUCUGAACUCAUUUCCUAAAUCUCUGAUAAUGCUCUUAAUGGCACCCAGUCCUAAAAUGGCAGGAACCACUCACCCCUGGAAGGUCAUCCUUGGCACCAUGUGUGUUCAGUUCAAGGCCAGAUGUUGCAGAGAUGCUGAACAUCUGCUGCUCUUCCUCACUAGCCCACAAGCUGCAGGUGCUCAUGCCACUGCAAACAUCACACGCCUACUCCCCAGGCACUCUUAUUCAAAAUGAAGCAAUGAACAGCCCUCUGCUUUGCUUUAGCUUUCUGUAAAACCAUAGUGCAGUGGGCUAGAAACAAACAUACGAGCCGUGCCCAUACAGUGGCACUUCUAGCAGAGCAUUGCUGAGUGUUUGGGAGUUCAGACUAGUCAGGGUACCUCCUUUCAUGGAAUCACAGAAUCACAGAGUCAUUAAGGUUCAAAAAUACCACUAAGACCAUCUAGUCCAACCACCAAUUCAUCCCCACCAUACCCACUAACCAUGUCCCUCAAUGCCACGUCUACACAGUUCUUUAAUACCUCCUGGGACAGUGCCUUCCUGGGCAGCCUGUUCCAAUGCUUUACCACUCUUUCUGGGAAGAAGUUUUUCCUAAUAUCCAACCUGAACCUCCCCUGGUGCAACUUGAGGCCAUUCCCUCUCAUCCUAUCGUUGUUGCCUGGGAGAAGAGACCAACCCACACCUUGCCAUGACCUCCUUUUAGGCAGUUGUAGUGAGCAAUAAAGUCUCCCCCGAGCCUCCUCUUCUCCAGACUAAACAAUCCCAGUUUCCUCAGCCACUCCCCAUAAGACCUGUAUUCACUGAGCAGCUGAUCCAUUUCCUUCCCUGAUUUCCAAAAAAAUAUUGAGAGACUGACCUCCUGAGCUCCCAGAAUGACCGCUGAUGGAAAAGCGAGGCCCUGGCAGCAGUGAGGCUGGGUGAGUCAUCAUCUGGAUGUAGAGCUCAGCCUCUGGCAGCUUUGUUAAGAACUGAGGACUAGAGAGAUGUUCAAAAGAAAUAUAGUAUCUGAUCAUCAGUGAUCUGAUGUGCGUAUAUUUUUUUUAUUCAGGAAGCAGAUGUCAAAUUCUCAUGACGAACCAGGACCUGGAAAAGUGCUGAGUGCCAGGGGAAUGGCUGAACUUGAAAAUAUAAGGAUAUCUGGGUUACAUAAGGAUUGUAUUGCAAGUGGAAUUUACAAUAUAAUGGCUCACCUCUGCACAAGAGUGAGCCUUGUCAUGUGCAAGCAUAUGUUACAGGGAAAUCCACUGGGCUGUUGACGGAAAGCAAAUAUUAUGUGACCCUGAAUCUCACUUGGUAUUUUAAACCAUAAGAGUUUCAGAUUUGAGUCACAGUAAGUCGGAUAUACAUAUGUGUGUAUAUAGAAGCUUUUAAGCUCUGAGCAAGGCUUCUGCCUUGGCAAUAUUUUCACUUCAAAUUGCACAUUUGGUCCUCUGUUCUUGUAAAUCAUUGUAGCCUCAAUCCGAAGUCAGAAGUCAGAUGAGAGGCUUCCAAACUUUGGCAAGAAAUCCAAUGCAGAAACCUUUACAAUCUUCUCUUUUCUACUCUGGCCACUUUGAGCUCCAGAAUCCAAAUUCCACCCACCCAUCUUGCUUCUUCACAGGGCUUCCUGCAUAGAGGUGACAUCAGGAUCUAUCUGACGCCUUAUUUGCCCCUGUGGAGCUUUCAGUCGGAGCAGAUACGUUCCUAGCACUGCAUGGAGAACACCCCCAGCCCAGGGUGGAACACUCCUCUGUCAGAGCAAGAGCUGGAGAGGCUGGCACGCGAGAGGCACACAUGGGGAAAGAUCUGUUUUCUUUUUUUAAUUCAGCACUUUGACCUGAAACACCGAGGCGAGCCGUGCAAAGGGCUGCCUGCAGAGUAGAAUGCUGCAAGUUUAAGGACUCAUUUUUAGUAACAAAGCCCAGACUAUUAGCCCUGCCAUUUUUCCACUGCUGGAGGAAAACGUGGACUCUUGCUGAGUUUGUACGUAGCCUAAUCCUUAUAGAAUGACAUGGAUCAUAGAACGACUUGGGUUGGAAGGGACCUCAAAGAUCAUCUAGUUCCAGCCCUGAAUGCCCAGGUGUGAUUACUGGAGUGCUGAUACAAACUUUAUAAACAGAAAGGCUGCAUGGGACAUACCUUUAGGAACCAGCCUCUUCCCAUAAUGCUUGAUGACUUGUUCAAUUCCUGUCCAGUUAACUGGUUUUUACAUUUCUCAGAAGUUUCUUCAGUUCUGCUUCCUUUUUCUUUCCACUGUGACAUUGCCACCAGUUCAAUGGCUUGAGUUGCUCUGGUAUGUUCAAACUCAACGCCAGAACCUUCUCUUCUCUCUUAGAGCCAAAUCCAGAGUGACUGAAAGGUUUUUAUGGACUUCAGAUUUCAGACUGUGCUCAUGUCUGAAAGAAACCCUCACAGACACUAACGAGCCCCAACCUUCCUCACGGCAUUUGUGCUGCCUCACCUCUACCAGCACAAUUUGAUGUCGUCGCUGAGCGAUGCUUUGACUCACUGGGGUUUUGCCUGCAGACUCAUUUCUGCCUCCUCUGCUCAUUUUGCACUGGAUUUACUCUCACUGACUUGCGUGAAGAAGUACUCCAGGGGAUUAAAUGUGGUGGAACCUUUCCCCACACAGUGCCUUGAGAGCCACGUCUCACGCAUGAUCUGGAGGAGACCUCUUGAGACACAGAUAUUGAUGAUAUUUCUCCCAUUCAGUGAAGUAGAUGCAUUAAAAAUAUCCAAAGGUGAAGACACGUAGAAAUCUGGCUUUGAAAGUCAAAGCUGAUGCAGCACAAGCUGAGCUGUACAAGUACACGGGUUUUGUACAGCAAGACGUCAAACACAAACCUGUGAGGCCUGUCUCCACUGCACUGUACUCGGGGUGGAAACUUUGUCAGCCAUAGUCAUACUCAGCAAAAUAUGCAUCUCACGUUGGCAGUGGCAAUGAACUUCUUUUUUUCUUCCAUAGAAAUCUGCAGAAGAUGACCAACUAGGUAGUUAAAGCAUUUCUACUUUUCCAUCAUUGGAAUAAUUUUACUCAUACUUUCUCAGCAGAAAAAUAAGUGGUACCUGGGGAACCACCUCACAAAAAUGAAACUUCAUCCAAGUGGGCAAAACAAUGUGAUUAUCUGGGUAGAGAAUGCAGUAGAUUCCAUGUACAUGGGUGGAGAACAUUUUAUUCUCCGAAUGAGAGAUGAUUGCUCUGGAAAACCUGCUGGGUCACUUUUAAUUACUAAAAGAGCAAAUUCAUGGUUUCCUCAUGGACCAGUCACACUGCAUAGUAUUUUCUCUUUUUUUGUUCUAUUUAAGCUUAGACUGAUUAAUCAGACUUCCUGGCAGUGGUUGUAAGAGGAAGAUGACUGAGAAUUUAGUAGGUGAGUUAAUUCUCAUUUUUACUGUGUCUCAAGAGCCACCCACUUUCCCUUCACAUGACUCGACACCAAGAAGCCUUUACAAGUUUUGCAGAGACCAACCUGUUGACCUUCUGCUCUCUUCCAUCUUUUAUCUCAUUUUUGCUGCUUCCUCAUUUUCUUUGGCACAUUUCUCAUUUUUUAGCUCCUCUCACCAGCAAAACCCCAUCUCCAGCUCCAUACUCUGGACACGAGUGACAUGGCUUAGUGGCCAUGGUGGUGAUGGGUUGAUGGUUGGACCAGGCAGUGGUCUUUUCCAACCAUAAUGAUUCAGUGAUUCUGUGAACGUGCUCUUCAUGACAAUAAGGGAUUGCUCAAACAUCACGACUACUGGAGUGCCAUGGGUUUGUAUAAUGGGUGAGCACAAGCUGUUGUUGAUGCCAUUCUCUGUGUUGAAACAUUAUGGCUCCUUCCCCCUGCAGUGAUCUUGGUAACAUAAUGACAUUGGUUCACACCACAGCCCUGCUGUCAAUUGGGGUGCCUGUAGACAUCAUGUGUUUAUUUUCUCCUGUUCUGUUGAUUAUUUUCACACAGAUUUUAGAAAAGAAUCACUUUGAGACCUCUUUUGCAUUUAGCUUGCCUGGAAUGACGUGCAUCAAUGAAAUCCUUACACAUGAUAAAUGAGUGACAAUCUCUGUCCUCUGUUCUCAUCAGACUCUGCCCUGUUACUGAUAGGCAGCCAGGUGUUUCUUCUACCAAACCUAAAGCUGCAAAACUGGGCCAUCUCUCAUUGACAAAGAAUUCAGCCUUUUUGUUUCUACCGAAGUGGAAAACAAUUCCUUGAGGGCUUCUGCCUCCCUGGUUUCUGAGUUCAGAUAUCCAUUUUUAGUGAUUAUGGACCUUAAGAAUUCCCACAAUUACAGUUCUGCAAAUAGGAAGCGAUAGUGAGAUACGAUCAUUGAGCGUGGUCCUGUCGUGUUUGUGGGUUGUGUGGUCUUCUCUAAACAUCCAGUAAACACAGUGUCCCACCACAGCUGAUUUUUCCCUGCAAUAUAUUAUCUUUAAUAAAUCCAAAGCUGUACAACUUGCCCGUUGCCCUCCCACUGCAUUUCUGUCUUCUGAGAACAAAAAUUCAACCUUUUUUUUCUUUUUUUUUCUUUUUUUUUUUUGACUGGUGGAGACAAUAUAUAUGCUUUUAACAUGCUCUUAUUAUCCAGCUGCAGAAAGUCUUCCAGUGUGCAAGCACAGAAGACGUAUUUAUGUGUCUGGUCAUCUCUGGAAUGCAUGGCUGUGAUGCGAAAGGCUGGGAAACUCUUGUGGGACAGGAUGACUGCUGGUGGUGGCCUGACAGCCCCAGCAGACGCAUAGAAAGAAGGAAAACUGAUGUCUCUGUGGUGUUGAGGCACACUGGAGGGAUGCUCUGUGCACCCCAAAAUUCAGAAAGUUUGUGAGGGGAGGUCUGCAAUGCAGCAUCCACACUGGUAGGACUCUGAUAUGCUUCCUCCGUGGUCUUCAACAUGAUGGGGGCCUGGGGUCAACGUGGCCCUGGCUGGCAUCUCCUGUGUUCACCCCUCGGUGCCCUGCUCAGCAGUUUGCAGGAUGGGGUUUCUGCUGGCUGAAGAGGAAAAAACCCAUUUGCGCAGGAUUCCUCUGUGUGCAAAAGGCCUGCUAGAAAAUUGCCGGAGCUAAAAUGAUCACACAUGUCCUUCAGCUUCGGAGAAGGGAGCUCUAAAUGAGAGCAUGUGUGCUCCGAUCCCGGGCUGAGAAAAUGUCAGUCUGAGGCGCUUGGGAAGUUCCUAUUGAUACAAGCAGGGAGGCUCCCUGCUGCCCACAGAUUUCCCACAUAAAAGUCCUACUGGUAGCCGUGGGAACUUCGCAGCAGCCACGCUGUGGCUAAAGUCACCGCUCCGAAAAUGCAGCGAAAUUAGUGUUCAUAAAAGUGAAAAACAUGCCACAAGAAUGAAGACGUCCUGAUUCACAGCCAUGGAAAUUACACGAGUUCUGGCAUUAAAAAAAAAAAAAAAAAAAAAAAAAAAGCCAAAUUUUACAGCUAUCCUGGCAGCAGGAAGGGAUGGCUGGUGAAUUUUAAAAAGGCCUCUUUGAGCAAAAAGCCUUGCCUUAUCACGAAUGAUUUUACUGCACUAAACCAACAAAAAACAGCCCAUUUUGCCCCAUGGAAAAGGCAGGCCCUGUGUUGCACAGUGACCUCUAAGUGAAGCGGAGCACUUUGCUCCAGAACCUGUGAAAUGAUUUCCAGCAGCUGGUUUGUUCCUAAUUUCAGUUCUGCCUUCCGAGCUGACCGUCACCUCCCCCAGCCUGUGCCAAUCCCUUCAUGUAUUUUCAAGGGAAAUUAAAAAAGAACACAAAACAAACAUGGCAGGGUAUGAUGGAGCAGCAGACUUGUUCCAGUGUAAAUUGAACAUGAAGCUGGGACCCAGAGGAGAAGGCAAUGCUGGCAGUAAUACAGCUGGUCUAGCUUAUCAUUUAGCACCAUUUGCCAUCUGAAGUUCCCUUUUUUGACUUUUUCUGCUACAAUUACUGUAAGCAGAAGGGGUGACAACUCUGGUAUUGACUCUUGCUGCUUGACUUUGGGAGAUCCCCAAGGAGGAGACCCCACAGCCUCUGGGCAGCCUGUGCCAGUGCUCUGUCACUGCACAGCACAGAAGGGCUCCUGGUGUUCAGAGGGAACCUCCUGUGCUCCAGUUUGUGCCCAUGGCCUCUGGUCCUGGCACAGGGCACCACUGACAGAGCCUGGCUCUGGCCUCUUGCUCCUCAGGCUCCAUCCACCACACACCAUCCUGCCGACCCCCUGCCAAUGUGUGUCCAGGCACCUCCUCCCUCCCCCAGCCCCACACCCAUGCUGGCAGCAGCUUAUGACAGUGUAAAAAUAAAACAGGAAAUGAUCUCUGUGGGGGUUGUGGUGGCAGGCAGAGAAGUAGCGUGGCUCUGAAGAGCAGUCGUGCCUUCAUGCAAGCGCUGAGGCCCUGCCAAGCAUUACAGGGGGAUGUUUGCUUGGCCUUUCGAGUGAUGGAGGGCUUCACUGUGGGUGCCCAGCCCUGGCCUAUUGCCAGCAUGUGCUUAAAGCACAAGGGUGCAGCUCGCACUCUGGCCUCUAUAGAAUCACAGAAUCAUUAAGGUUGGAGAAGAUCACUGGGAUCAGUCCAACCACCAACCAUCCCCACCAUGCCCACUCACCACGUCCGUCAGUGCCAUAUCUACAUGGCUCUUGAGCACCUCCAGAGAUGGUGACUCCACCACCUCCCUGGGCAGCCUGUGCCAACGCAUUACCACUUUUUCUGAGAAUAAAUUAUUUCAAAUAUCUAUCCCCAGCCUCUCCUUGUGCAACUUAUGGCCAUUUCCUCUCAUCCUGUUGCUACUACAUGGGGCAAGAGGCUGACCCCCUCCUUACCACAACCACCUUUCAGGGAGUUGUAGGGAGCGAUAAGGUCUCCCCUGGGCCUUCUCUUCUUCAGACUGAACAAUCCCCUCGCCCUGAUCUCACAACUGCCUCCUGGUGUUGUCUGCCCCCAGAUACUUGCAUUUGGCUCAGGAGAUGGUUCACUUGCAAAUUCUGGUGCUAGGUAGCGUUUGGGCCUGAUUGCUGAACAAAACACCUGCCAACCCUGCUAUUUCUGCUGGGAAGAAACAUUAGCAUCUGGCUGAAUUACUAAAUGGGGAGUGUUCAGAUGUGCUUGCCUUUCAUGUCUCUCUAUGACUCUCUGAGCUCCUCAGAGAGUCAUAGAAUCAAAGUCUCUACCCCUUUGUUGUGGGCAAUGUCACCUACCAGCCCAGGCUGCCCAGGGCCCCAUCCAACCUGGCCUUGAAUGUCUCCAGGGAUGGGGCACCCACAGCUUCUCUGUACUAGUGCCUCACUGCCAUCUGAGUAAAGAAUUUCCUCCUAACAUCUGACCUAAAUCUCUCUUCUUUCAACGUAAAACUGUUCUCCCUUGUCCUGUCACUGUCAGACUGUGUAAAAAAUCAGUCCCCUUCCUGCUUGUAAGCUCCCUUCAAGCACUGAAAGGCUGCAGUGAAGUCACCCUGGAGUCUUCUCUUCUACAAGCUAAACAAGCCCUACUCCUUCAACUUUUCUUCAUAGAAGUGCUCCAGCCCUCUGAUCAUCUGAGUGGCCCUCUUCUGAACCUGCUCCAACUGCUCUGCAUCCUUCUGUACUGGGGGCCCCAGGCCUGGACAUGGUACUCUGAGUGGGACCUCAAAAAAGCACAGCAGAGCAGGGACAAUCCCCCUCCCACUCCCUGCUGGCCACCCUUCUUUUGAUGCAACUCAGGGUACUGUGGGCAAACUGUAUCCAAACUCAUCCUGGCUGUUCUCUCCUGGACACCACCGGGGAGGGGAAAGGGCCCUGGUGAGCACUGCCCCAGGAGUUUCUCAGGGCAAAAGAUUCUUCUGGGCAUUAGAAAGCUGAGUGUUUCCUUGGAGCUCAUGCCUUGGGCUUGGAAAUGGCCUUUGAGUCUGCUUCCGCCAGCUUUGUGUUUAUAGAGAACAUUUAUUUCUUUCCAGCUGGGUCAAGUGUUUUUUCCUGUAGCACACAAAUGCUUGGAAUAGAGGUUCAAAUCCUUCUCUGCCUUCAAACACAAACAUACCCUAUCUGGGUCAGGAAGUCCCUGACCUGCAAAUCACUGGAGGCUGACAGAGCAUAUCGUGGUAGUUUUAUUGUAGGCUUGCCCUCGCCUUGUGCUCUUCCCUCGGCAUCUGCUAUUGCCAGCAUUACAGACAAGACAUUGGGCUGGAGGGACUUUUGGUCCAACCUCCUGUGGAUGUUUUUAUGGCCUUUUGUCUUUAUCCGUGGCCUCUGGAGUCUAAUAAAGAUUUUGUAAAUACAAAGAAUUUGCUGUGAUCUAAGAAGUUGGGAGCAUGGGAGGGCCCCCAAAAGAGCCUGGCACUGAGGGAGCCAUGGCCUGAUAAGAGCAGUGGGUGUGUGGAGAGUGACAAUGGAACAGCUUCCAGUGCCUGUUGGUUCUUGGAUAGAUGGUCUUCAAUGGGCAAUAAAAGUAAUUGUUUCUGGACACUUCUUAGCAUACAUUUCUCCACGAGGUAUAUGAUUUCAUAGUUUCAUACAAUAUGCGAUUUAUCAUUCAGGUUUACUUCUAGCACCAGACCACAGCCUCACUGGAAAGAGCUGAUCUACCUAUUUUACUUUGCUUCUUAAUUGGUUUCUUCCAAGGAUAAUGAGCUCCCUAAAGAUGUCCAGUUCCCCUUGGCCAAGCCCUGAAGCUCUCAGAUAUCCUUACUGCACCAGAAAAUGCCAGGGGGGUGAGAUGGCUGAGAAACUGUCCCCAACAUUUUCGCUGUGCCCGACCCUCUUUGAGACUUCUGAUUGGGGGGGAGAGGAAAGAAGGGCAAAUUUGUUCCCACCGGUGGUGUGAAAAAAACAAAAAUCAUCAGACAAGGAUUUUUUAAAGAAUGUGUUCCUUUUUUGACCUUUCCCCACUUCUUACAAGCCUAGAAAAAUCCCCUUCAACACGUUAUUAACCCUGCAAGAAAUGCUGUUCUCUUUUUCAUCAGAUGAUGCUACGUGCCUUAGAACUGUGGUUUCCAUGUCCUGCACCAAAGCUGCUUCAUAGAAUCAUGGAAUCACAGAGUGGUUCAGGUUGGAAGGGACAUUAAAGCCCAUCCAGUUCCAAUGCACUGCUGUGCGCAGUGCUGCCACUCACCAUGUCAUGCACUAGUUCAGGUCGGGUCAAUUGACCUUCACUUGCUUCACUGCAAUCACUGCUCCUUGAUUUGAGGUUUGAGCACUGGCAGAGGUAAUGAAGAUUUGAAGAUUCUGAUUUUAAUCAGAAUGAGCAAAGUACAUGGGCCUGCUUAAAAAUGAAAUGUGAUAUUUAAGCUCAGAAACAGUCUGUUCAAAGUCAUUCAUAUGUGGAUGUAAAACACAACUGAAAAGAAAACACUUCACAUUGAAAAAUGCUGCCUUCUCACCAGGGUGAUUGAAAUGGAGAUUCUGCUCAGAAACUCAAAAACAGCCCAGAAAUGACCCCUCAACAAUGUGUGGAAAACUCCAGCUUCUACUAGAAAGCCAGAAAUACCUGAACACAAGCAAGUACUCUCAAAACUCUUAUGGAUGUCUAUGCACACAUCUUCCUUGCCUAUACUAUAGGGAUGCUUGUUAUUCAUUGAAUGAGGGAGGCAGCAGUCACUGAAAGUCAAUAGGAAAAGUGACUCCAGCUACUUUUAGGUGAGAUCACCUCAAGUACCGCAUUCAAUUUUGGGUCCCUCACUACAAGAAAGACAUUGAGACCCUGGAGCAUGUCCAGAGAAGGGUAAUGAAGCCACAAAGGGUCUGGAACACAAGUCGUAUGG